rnacentral:rRNA from 1 species
AAAGGAUUAACCCAGCAAGUUUAAGGAUUAACCAUUUAUUCUGGGGAACUGGGAAAGGCUCCUUAAAUCCGUUAUUGGUUAUUUGAUAGUUCCCUUCUACUUGGAUAACCGUGGUAAUUCUAGAGCUAAUACAUGCUAAAAACCCCGACUUUUGGAGGGGUGUAUUUAUUAGAUAAAAAACCGAUGCCCUUCGGGGCUCCUUGGUGAUUCAUAAUAACUUAACGAAUCGCAUGGCCUUGUGCCGGCGAUGGUUCAUUCAAAUUUCUGCCCUAUCAACUUUCGAUGGUUAGGUCUUGGCUAACCAUGGUUU